rnacentral:rRNA from 1 species
UGGCGGCAUGCCUUACACUUGCAAGUCGAACGGUAGAGCAGCUAUGCUUGAGAGUGGCGAACGGGUGAGUAAUAUAUCGGAACGUGCCCAGUCGUGGGGGAUAACGUAUAGAAAUUUACGCUAAUACCGCAUACGAUCUAAGGAUGAAAGCGGGGGACUCGCAAGAGCCUCUCGCGAUUGGAGCGGCUGAUAUCAGAUUAGGUUGUUGGUGAGGUAAAAGCUCACCAAGCCGACGAUCUGUAGCUGGUUUGAGAGAACGACCAGCCACACUGGGACUGAGACACGGCCCAGACUCCUACGGGAGGCAGCAGUGGGGAAUUUUGGACAAUGGGCGAAAGCCUGAUCCAGCAAUGCUGCGUGUGGGAAGAAGGCCUUCGGGUUGUAAACCACUUUUGUACGGAACGAAACGGUCUGCUUUAAUACAGCGGGGCUAAUGACGGUACCGUAAGAAUAAGCACCGGCUUAACUACCGUGCCCAGCAGCCGCGGGUUAUACGUAGGGGUGCGAGCGUUUAUCCGGAAUUUACUUGGGCGUAAAAGCGUGCGCAGGCGGGUUAUAUAAGACAGUUGGUGAAAAUCCCCCGGGCCUCAACCCUGGGAAUUGCAUCUUGUGACUGUAUAGCUAGAGUACCGGUAAAGGGGGGAUUGGAAUUCCGCGUGUAGCCAGUGAAAUGCGUAUAUAUGGCGGAAGAAACCACCGAUGGUGAAGCAAUCCCCUGGAACCUGUACUGAUGGCUCCUUGCACGAAGGCUUGGGGGAAGCAAACAGGAAUAGAAUACCCUGGUAGUCCACCCCCCAAACGAUGUCAACUGG